rnacentral:lncRNA from 1 species
GAAUCAAUAGCACAGACUUAGCAAUGACGGUUCAUGUAUAAACAGAACAUUCUUUUAUUGAACAGUUCAAACAUAGAACAAUUCAUCUCACAGAAACACCGAAGUGUUCACAUUGUGGCACACAGUCUCAUACAUUCUACCACCUUGUACAAAUAUUGCACAUUCGCACAUAGACAAAACUUCUCAAGUUCAACAUCUGAGAAGUUUAAGAAACUAGCAUUCAUUUGAAAUAUGAAUGAAGUUAGGAAACUUGCCUUACGCACAGCUACAGCUUACGCUGAACUGCUCAUUCUAAUCCCUAUAAUACAUAAUGAAAUAACAAAUACACCAAUUAGUCAUAUACUUGACUUACGCAUUGGUUUACUUAACUUUACUUCUUAAGGUUCGCGUUCUUGCAAUAUAAUUUUACGUGACUAACUUUCAUUACCCGUUUACGGUUUCAUGACAUACGGAGAUGUCUUACUCAACACGUUCAUCAUCUUUGAUGAUUCACAUUCUUAUCUUCUUCGUAUACUUCUUUAGGACUCGGUACACAUAGCUUCUCUGCUAGUAGUCCAUAUGGUACUCUGAGUGGUUUCCCACAAACAACCAACAAACAAGUUCCCGUCUCAUCUACACUUUCAUCACAGUGAGUUAGAUCGGUUGCCAGUUUCGUAUAUACCUUCGCUCUCUGAAGGAAUUGUUUAGCCCAGCUCCCAUAUGUCAACCAUCAAAGGUUACGAUUGUACCACAACCUAACUUUCUCUUAACUUAUACGAAUUAUUAAAUUAUAAUGUUCGUUAAGUUAAUUUCUUAUUCCUUUUGGCUUUCUGGCAAGUAAUUGCCAUACCUCAGGAUUCAUUCUUAUCCGAUUCACAUUCGGCUUUCAUUAAUCUCAU